CCUACGGGAGGCAGCAGUGAGGAAUAUUGGUCAAUGGGCGCAAGCCUGAACCAGCCAAGCAGCGUGAAGGAUGACUGCCCUACGGGUUGUAAACUUCUUUUAUACAGGAAUAAAGUGAGGGACGUGUGCCUUUUUGUAAGUACUUUAUGAAUAAGGAGCGGCUAACUCCAUGCCAGCAGCCGCGGUAAUACGGAGGAUCCGAGCGUUAUCCGGAUUUAGUGGGUUUAAAGGGAGCGGAGGUGGGUUGUUAAGUCAGUUGUGAAAGUUUGCGGCUCAACCCUAAAAUUGCAAUUGAUACUGGCUGUCUUGAGUACAGUUGAGGCAGGCGGAAUUCGUGGUGUAGCGGUGAAAUGCUUAGAUAUCACGAAGAACUCCGAUUGCGAAGGCAGCUUACUGGACUGCAACUGACAUUGAUGCUCGAAAGUGUGGGUAUCAAACAGGAUUAGAUACCCGAGUAGUC
rnacentral:rRNA from 1 species